rnacentral:lncRNA from 1 species
UCAUUUUGUAUCACUUAAAUUAUAUCACAAAAGUAAGUGAUAGUAUUUUAAAUUACUUAUUUGUAAAUGAAGCAACUUAGCAUCAAUUAUAUUAGUUGAUGUUAUAAUUAACUAAUUUUACAUCAAUUAGAUAAAACUGAUUUAAUUUUUAUUAGUUUAUAUCACUUUAAGAAAAUUGAUAUAAGAUAUGAAUUUACAUCAUUUAGAUAAUUGAUCUAUUUGUUAUUUUUCCAUAAGAUCACUUUUUAAAAUGAUACAAAAUUUGUAUCAACAAAAACUGAUGUUAAAAAAAGUAACUAAUAUAAAAAAUAAAAUAAGAAAGGUAACUUAAAUUUUUUUUUUUAUCGAGCAGCAAAUCUAACUGUAUAUCUUUUUCCCUAACCUCCUAAUCCUUUAUCGGAUCUAUAUAUCUUUCUCUCCCAGAUUUUUUGAGAAGCAUAUCACCAUCUCUUUAUAUUUAUUCUUUCGUUGUGGCAUGCCUUUACUUAGUUCUCUGUUUUUUUUUUUUCUCAAUAGAUGGCGAAGGAACUUGAUGAUAAGGCUAAAGAAGUUUUCGUAGAUGACUAGUUAUUGACGUGGAAGAUGCCAACAAAGCUAUUGAGUUGAACCAUUC